CCUACGGGAGGCAGCAGUGGGGAAUAUUGCACAAUGGGCGCAAGCCUGAUGCAGCGACGCCGCGUGCGGGAUGGAGGCCUUCGGGUUGUAAACCGCUUUUGUUCAAGGGCAAGGCAGGCUUUCGGGCCUGUUGAGUGGAUUGUUCGAAUAAGCACCGGCUAACUACGUGCCAGCAGCCGCGGUAAU
rnacentral:rRNA from 1 species